AGCAGCCGCGGUAAUUCCAGCUCCAAUAGCGUAUAUUAAAGUUGUUGCAGUUAAAAAGCUCGUAGUUGAAUUUCGGGGUCAGUAGAUUGGUCGUGCCACUGGUAUGCACUGGUCUUACUGGCUCCUCCUUCCUGUGGAACCGUAAUGCCAUUAAGUUGGUGUUGCGGGAAAACAGGACUGUUACUUUGAAAAAAUUAGAGUGUUUAAAGCAGGCUAACGCUUGAAUACAUUAGCAUGGAAUAAUGAAAUAGGACGACGAUCCUAUUUUGUUGGUUUCUAGGAUUGACGUAAUGAUUAAUAGGGAUAGUUGGGGGCAUUAGUAUUCAAUUGUCAGAGGUGAAAUUCUUGGAUUUAUUGAAGACUAACUACUGCGAAAGCAUUUGCCAAGGAUGUUUUCAUUAAUCAAGAACGAAAGUUAGGGGACCGAAGACGAUCAGAUACCGUCGUAGUCUUAACCAUAAACUAUGCCGACUAGGGAUCGGAUGAUGUUAAUUUUUAAUGUA
rnacentral:rRNA from 1 species